GACGUAGGAUGCAAGCGUUGUCCGGAUUUAUUGGGCGUAAAGAGUUCGUAGGUGGUUCGUUAAGUCUGAUGUUAAAGACUGGGGCUCAACCCUGGAAGUGCAUUGGAUACUGGCGGACUUGAGUGUGGUAGAGGCAAUCGGAAUUCCAGGUGUAGCGGUGAAAUGCGCAGAUAUCAGGAGGAACACCGAUUGCGAAGGCAGCUCGCUGGAACGUUACUGACGCUGAGACGCGAAAGCGUGGGGAGCAAACAGG
rnacentral:rRNA from 1 species